rnacentral:tRNA from 2 species
AGCCUUAUAGUCAAACAUGAUUUUAAAUUGCAAAUUUAAAGGAGAAAAAUUUUUCUAAGGCUU